UCUGAGUCUCAUUAUCCUCCUCUGCCUCUUCAGCCUCACUGAACUAUUUGGGACACAUCCAUCCAUGGGGCCAGAGUUAAGAGAUCCAGUAGAGGGGUGGACAUUGACCACAGUUUGCAGGGUCAUUUGCAGCAGUGUGAGGAGGGG